GAUGAACGCUGGCGGCGUGCUUAACACAUGCAAGUCGAACGGAAAGGCCGAAGCUUGCUUCGGUACUCGAGUGGCGAACGGGUGAGUAACACGUGGGUGAUCUGCCCUGUACUUCGGGAUAAGCUUGGGAAACUGGGUCUAAUACCGGAUAUGACGAUCUCUUGGAUGGGGUUGUGGAAAGCUUUUGCGGUAUGGGAUGAGCUCGCGGCCUAUCAGCUUGUUGGUGGGGUAAUGGCCUACCAAGGCGUCGACGGGUAGCCGGCCUGAGAGGGUGUACGGCCACAUUGGGACUGAGAUACGGCCCAGACUCCUACGGGAGGCAGCAGUGGGGAAUAUAGCACAAUGGGCGCAAGCCUGAUGCAGCGACGCCGCGUGGGGGAUGACGGCCUUCGGGUUGUAAACUCCUUUCGCAAUCGACGAAGCCUUUUGGUGACGGUAGGUUGAGAAGAAGCACCGGCUAACUACGUG
rnacentral:rRNA from 1 species